rnacentral:rRNA from 1 species
AGUGAACGCUGGCGGUAGGCCUAACACAUGCAAGUCGAACGGCAGCACAGGAGAGCUUGCUCUCUGGGUGGCGAGUGGCGGACGGGUGAGGAAUACAUCGGAAUCUACUCUGUCGUGGGGGAUAACGUAGGGAAACUUGCGCUAAUACCGCAUACGACCUACGGGUGAAAGCAGGGGAUCUUCGGACCUUGCGCGAGUGAAUGAGCCGAUGUCGGAUUAGCUAGUUGGCGGGGUAAAGGCCCACCAAGGCGACGAUCCGUAGCUGGUCUGAGAGGAUGAUCAGCCACACUGGAACUGAGACACGGUCCAGACUCCUACGGGAGGCAGCAGUGGGGAAUAUUGGACAAUGGGCGCAAGCCUGAUCCAGCCAUACCGCGUGGGUGAAGAAGGCCUUCGGGUUGUAAAGCCCUUUUGUUGGGAAAGAAAUCCAGCUGGCUAAUACCCGGUUGGGAUGACGGUACCCAAAGAAUAAGCACCGGCUAACUUCGUGCCAGCCGCCGCCGUAA